rnacentral:rRNA from 1 species
CCAAUAGCGUAUAUUAAAGUUGUUGCAGUUAAAAAGCUCGUAGUUGAACUUCGGGAUCAAGGAAUCGGUCAUGCCUCGGUAUGUACUGGUUUUAUUGGUUCUCACCUUCUAAAGAACCAUAAUGUCAUUCAUUUGAUGUUAUGGGGAAUUAGGACUGUUACCUUGAAAAAAUUAGAGUGUUUAAAGCAAGCUUACGCUUGAAUACAUUAGCAUGGAAUAAUGAAAUAGGACAUCCGAUUCUAUUUUGUUGGUUUCUAGGAUCGAUGUAAUGAUUAAUAGGGAUAGUUGGGGGCAUUAGUAUUCAAUUGUCAGAGGUGAAAUUCUUGGAUUUAUUGAAGACUAACUACUGCGAAAGCAUUUGCCAAGGAUGUUUUCAUUAAUCAAGAACGAAAGUUAGGGGAUCGAAGACGAUCAGAUACCGUCGUAGUCUUAACCAUAAACUAUGCCGACUAGGGAUCGGAUGAUGUUAAUUUUAUAAUGACUCAUUCGGCACCUUACG